rnacentral:rRNA from 2 species
AAAUUGAAGAGUUUGAUCAUGGCUCAGAUUGAACGCUGGCGGCAGGCCUAACACAUGCAAGUCGAACGGUAGCACAGAGAGCUUGCUCUCGGGUGACGAGUGGCGGACGGGUGAGUAAUGUCUGGGAAACUGCCUGAUGGAGGGGGAUAACUACUGGAAACGGUGGCUAAUACCGCAUAACGUCGCAAGACCAAAGAGGGGGACCUUCGGGCCUCUUGCCAUCAGAUGUGCCCAGAUGGGAUUAGCUUGUUGGUGAGGUAACGGCUCACCAAGGCGACGAUCCCUAGCUGGUCUGAGAGGAUGACCAGCCACACUGGAACUGAGACACGGUCCAGACUCCUACGGGAGGCAGCAGUGGGGAAUAUUGCACAAUGG